rnacentral:rRNA from 1 species
GACGAACGCUGGCGGCGCGCCUAACACAUGCAAGUCGAGCGAGAACCAGGGCUUCGGCCCUGGGGACAGCGGCGAACGGGUGAGUAACACGUGGAUAACCUGCCCUCGGCACCGGAAUAGCCCGGGGAAACUCGGAUUAAUGCCGGAUGGCCCCUCAGCCCCUCGGGGCGGUGGGGAAAGGUAGCUUCGGCCUCUGGCCGAGGAUGGGUCCGCGGCGGAUUAGCUAGUUGGCGGGGUAAUGGCCCACCAAGGCGACGAUCCGUAGCUGGUCUGGGAGGACGAUCAGCCACACUGGGACUGAGACACGGCCCAGACUCCUACGGGAGGCAGCAGUGGGGAAUCUUGCGCAAUGGGCGAAAGCCUGACGCAGCGACGCCGCGUGCGGGAAGAAGGCCUUAGGGUUGUAAACCGCUUUCAGGAGGGACGAAGCCACUCGGGUGAAUAGCCCAGAGGGUGACGGUACCUCCAGAAGAAGCCCCGGCUAACUACGUGCCAGCCGCCGCCGUAA